AGAUCAGAAAUAAUACAUCUCUGUUAGCUCAGGAAGCAAAAGUGAUAUUAACUUCAUCCUAAAACCAGUAUUUUGGGGUAAAAGCGUAAGUAAUACUAUGAAGUGUUUAUGUGGGCUUUAAUAUUGAAAAUGAAAUUAACUUAAUCAGUGGGAUUUGCUGAAAUGGGAUUUGUAAAAUUCUUGCAGGCAUGCUGUAUGGUCACCAGUUGCUUCUCCAGGUGAUUUACAAGGCUUCCUGCUGUUUGAUGAAGCACAGGUGCUAAGGCUGUCAUCCAAGGCAAUGACUUAUUAGCUUUUAUGGUUGAAGUAUCUUAGGUUGUUUUUAAGAUAAUAAGCUUGUGGAAGUAGGACCAGACUGAGUUAAAAACUGGAUUUAAACCAAAGUUUUCUGUAGCCUUGGAAAGCCCGCUGAGCUGAUGUGCGGGUUUUGUGUGUGCUUUUUUGUUUGGUUGGUUUUAUUUGUUUAUUUAAAGACACUAAAGAUACUCAGAAAUAAAGGAAUCGGGUCAAGUCUAGUAUUUAGGGCUCUCAUUUAGAUUGCCGUUUCUUCUCUAAGGUAUGUAUCGUGUCGAUGAGCCACUAGCACAGUUGUAGGUAAGGUGUGACACAGAGAUCAAAGAAUAGAUUCUGCUGAUGUAUUCUGGCCAAAGUUGUGGGGUCAGAUGAGGUGAUUUUGCCCUGUACUCACAGCUGGGAGCUCACAGGUAUAUGCUGCAGUGAUAGAGGGAGUUGUUCAAGAGAGGUUCAGGUGAGCUAGUGGCCCCUAUUGGGUGAAUGCAGAUACCAGGUUUUAUAUUAAUGUUAUCUUGCUUUACAUCUGAAAUAGCUUUGCUACAGCUUUUAGCCAAUUAAUUAGUUGCUACAGCACAUCCCUACUCUGUAAGAGUUGGAUUGUAGUCUCCUGCAUAAGAGAAGUUGGUUUCCAUCCUUUACCUCACUUGCCACCAUAAGGAAGGUGUAUGGGAUGGAUGGUCAGGGAUUUUGGAUGCAUGUGACAUUUCAGCCAUAAUUGCAGGUAUUAAGAUUUUUUUUUUACAUCUGUUUUCUUUGUAUUUUAUAUGUCUUUAAACGUGACUUUUUGACUUAGAAUGGAUGGAUAGAUGUGCAAAAGAAAUAGAGAAACAAAUACUAAAUGAAGUUAUAGGAGAAAGGCAGACAUGCACAACAAGAUGUUUAUUGAAAACAAAAUAUCUCAUUUCCUCAUUUGAAGUGCUCCUGAGGUAUGAACACUUACAAGUUAUAAAUAGGAGGUUGCUACUGAAUACUGCAAGGAAUUAAUUUGUACUACUUGGUCAGAAAGAGACAUCAAAUGUAAUGAGAGCCAACUGAAAGGUAUUUGAGAUUUUGCUCUCGUUCAGUUUGUAGGGAUGCCAAAUUUUGAGUAGUGAAAGAACUCCCUAAGAGUAAUUCACUGAAAUGAGGGGGUGAUAAAAGACCUUUUGCUUUCUUUCUUUUUUUUUUUUUUUUUCCCCCUAGGAUAAAUUACACUUGAAUGUACAGGAAUGUUGUUUUCUGGUUUGAGAGUAAGUGGGCUUGUAUAAUAAACAUUUCUGUAGCAUUCGGCUACUUUAGCCCAGACAGCUCAAUUAGGGCUGUGCAGUAAAAUACAACUUCAGUGUACUUUGUGAGCACUUAAUGUGACUGAAAGCCUGUUAGCAAGGCAUCUCAUAGAAUUAGGUCCUCUCAAGUGUUUACGGAAAUUGAAUUGACAUAUAUUUAACUGAUAGAUCUGAAAAGCCAGAGAUUUCUGGAUGCUGAGUAAUUUAAUUAUAUUGUCAUAUCUGACCUCUCCUGUUUGUCUCCUUUAUUCAUUAUUUUUAAUACAUUAAGAGCUGUGGAAAAGAGAGUGGAAGUUACUCACACAAGCUGACAAAAGCGGAAAAUAUAAAAUUAUACUUGACAACGUUUUCAUCAUUUCAUAGUUAUCUGUAAAAUCCAGUUUCCUCAGGAAGACUACUGGCAUGUGUAAGUGGAUCCAUUUCCAAGGCUUUAGAAUCACAGAACCUACAUUGGAAGGGACCUCAAAGCACAUCCAGUUAAGGCUGAGCCAUUUCUCUUGACACCUAUCAAGCUGACUUGAAAAACAAUAUUGAAACCAAAACCUCCAAGAUUGUAUAUACCAGGAUUGGAAGCAUAACAAAUAGUGUGGAGUAAUGCAAUCAAAAUUAGAAGGAAUUGUUUCAUGUGAGACUAGGCCAGCAGAUGGCAAAUAGAGUUCAAUGUAGAGAAAUGUAAGAUAAUUGAAGUUGAAAGAACUAAAUAAUCUGGGGAAUACCUGCUAAGUGAAACAAUCAUCCAGCACAGUGAUCAAGAAAAAGACUUGGGGAUUAUAGUGGAAAAAAUUGUUAAAACCAUGAUUCUAUUGAACAGGUUCAAUAAAAUAGGCAAAUUGCAUAUUUACAUUCUAAUACAACAUUUAGGUUGUAUUAGAAAAGUGGGAAAUUGUAAGAUCAAGGAAGGGUGUAGUGAGCACUUCCUAAAAGCUACUGAAGUUGCUGAAUACUCUCAUAAAACCUUCUUUUGACAGUGCAAUACCUUUACUAAAGUGACAGAGCAGGCUGUUGAACCAUCCUUUAGUUAUUCUGUUAGUAAAAUUAAUUUUGUCAUCCAAAGCUGGGGUACGUUCCUUCAGUGAUUUGUGCUCUAAGAAAGUACAUUGGGCUUGCCGCUGUUUUCCACCCAUAGCUCUACGAAUAAAGAUUUAAAUGAUG